GGAGCUUUCUGUUAUUAGUUGAAGGGGGGAAAGAGACCAAACUCACUCAUGAAUUCCUCCUAAUUGUUGCCAGGCAAAGAACCAGAUCCAGCCUUCUUCCAAAUCUCAACCCAUUCGACCAUGGCUUCAGCAGCACGAGCGUACAUUGGAUUGGAACGGCCAAGCUGCUCCCUUACUGCCUUCGCAAUCUCGAGGAGACAGGCUUCAGCUGUAACUGCUGCUUCUGGUAGCCUAAGAGUUUGAAAGAAUGGAACAACUUCUUCCAUC
rnacentral:misc_RNA from 1 species